GUGUCAGCCGCCGCGGUAAUACGUAGGGGGCAAGCGUUGUCCGGACUUACUGGGCGUAAAGCGCGUGCAGGCGGAUUGGUAUGUGCCGUGUGAAAGCUCUCAGCUUGCCUGGGAGAGGUCGCGGUAGACAGCCGAUCUGGAGGCUCGGAGAGGUCAGUGGAAUUCCCGGUGUAGUGGUGAAAUGCGUAGAUAUCGGGAGGAACACCAGUGGCGCAAGCGGCUGACUGGCCGAGACCUGACGCUGAGACGCGACGGCGUGGGGAGCAAACCGGAUUAGAUACCCCAGUAGUCC
rnacentral:rRNA from 1 species